CUGUGGAUGAUUCCAGCCUUGUGAAUGUACUGCAGAAAGGGAGAGACAGAGCGGGUAGCAGACAUUUAUAUUGCAGUUACAUCCAAAAUGUCAGCUUUUCCCGGCUCACCCUGAGUCCACAGAGCAUCUGGUAGACGAGAAACUGGACUUUGUCUUCUGUGAGAUGACCUCGCACCUUUGACAGGUCAGUAAACAUGUAAGGCAUCACCAGG